GGAUACGUGGUGUAGUUGGCUAUCACGCUUGCUUAGCGUACACAUUGAGCAUCUACUUCUGCGGGCGGUGCCCGGUUCAACUCCGGGUGUAUCCA